UUGGCGUCUCCGCGGGGCACGCGCGGCAGUGAGGGCUCUGAGGGCCCUGUCCUCGGGGCUGGCGGGCCGGGCAGCGCCCCAUCAUGCAUGGAUCAACCGGGACCAGCGCUUCCUAGGACGUAAAACCUUGACACAGCUGCAUGUAACCCUACCCCAAAGAUACAGAUUAAUCCUAGCGGUGGAUGGAAAUACGGGCCGAGACUAGAGAAGGCAAGCUUCGUCUACACUGAGAAUCUGCUCUCAUUACUGAUCAUAACACCAAGUGGUCAUGCAUGUCACCAGCCUUUCCCACUGCAUCCCUUCCUAGCUCACUGACCUCCAUUUUAUGAUUCUACAAUCUUCUGCCCUUUUUGAUGUAAAGUCGCUGGUUGGUCCAUUUUGUGGUGCAUUCCUGACCAAUCAUUCUGGAAUGCCUUGAUUUCCCUGGCUGGCUCAUUCUCCUGUUACAGUCUAGAAUGCUGUCAUCACCCCAUGAGAUUGUUUUGCAAAUUUAAUUUUUGCCAGUAGGAGACCUCUGUAAUGACCUUAAUGUGGAUAAAGUAAUGGUGAUAGCAGAAGAAGCAAGCAAUUAACAUGACCAAGAGACAAAUGUGCAGGACGUAUAAGGAGGAGGUGGAAGAAUGGAAGCAUCAUACCAAGCAAAGAAAAUAGAAAGAGAGAAAUAUAAGCCACAGUUUUAAGAAGGAGCUGUGCAAGGGGAGCAGUAAGCCAAGAAGGAAAAGAAAAGAAAUUUUUUUUAAGGGCUUAUUUUUCUCGACAGUCUUGUAAUGACUUGAAGGCAAUGUAAUAACCUGUGUGGAUGUUUCACUAUUAUUAGAUAUGUUGGUAUGUCUUCUGGGAAAGAGGGAAAGAAGACUGAAAUGGAAAUUGUCCUUCUUCUGAGCUUGGCAGAUGUGUGUCACUUAACUCCCAUGAAGUCAAUGUGACUAUUUCAGCAUGGAAGGCAGAGAGAGAAAAGCAGGAUGGGUGACUUCAUUAACCAGAUUUAAACUUGAUGAUAAGAACAACAGCAAAUGAAGUAUAAUUGUUACAGAUAAUGCAGAGUGCAUGAGCAUGUUACCCUAUAUGUAGAGUUAACUGUGCUUUCCAUCGUGUCAGUCAGAAGAGUCCCUGUGCUGAGGACCAUACAACCUGAAGCAUACACUGCCAGUUUGCAUUGUACAUGUUCAUGGAGUGGUGUACUUGAAGCUCAGGGAAAAAUUCAGCCUUAAAUUUAUUUUCUACAAUCUGUUUCUAA